UACGGGGGGGGCAAGCGUUGUUCGGAAUUACUGGGCGUAAAGGGCUCGUAGGCGGCCAACUAAGUCGGACGUGAAAUCCCUCGGCUUAACCGGGGAACUGCGUCCGAUACUGGAUGGCUUGAGGUUGGGAGAGGGAUGCGGAAUUCCAGGUGUAGCGGUGAAAUGCGUAGAUAUCUGGAGGAACACCGAUGGCGAAGGCAGCUCGCUGGGACGGUACUGACGCUGAGGCGCGAAAGCGUGGGGAGCAAACAGG
rnacentral:rRNA from 1 species